CUCGAGCAUCAAAGAGAAAAUCUGACACCCCCAAAUCUACUUCUGUCAAAUCUGCUCGCUCGGAGUCUAUCACAACUGCUUCAAGCAAGACUACGAAGUUUGGAUUGUCCGUUGAUAAUCUUUUUCAGAAGUAUGCCAAUAAGCUGCUAGGCAUGAUCGAUCCAGAGGGGAUUGAGGCACUUUGCUCAGAUCUUGGAGUAGACUACACAAAUGUCAAAAUUUUGAUGCUCGCUUGGAAAUUGAAAGCUGAAAAGCAGGGAUAUUUUACUCAGGAUGAAUGGAGAAAAGGUUUAAAAGAUCUCCAGGUUGAUACGAUUAACAAAUUGAAAAAAGCCCUGCCAAAAUUGGAAGCAGAGGUUAUGAUGCCUGAAAAUUUUGAGGAUUUUUAUUCCUACGCCUUCCGUUACUGCCUUACUGAGGAUAAGCAGAAGUGUGUGGACAUCGAGAGCAUUUGUCUACUGAUUGAUCUUGUUCUGGGGCCCCAAUUUCGUGCUCAGGUUGACUCAUUUAGUGAGUUUCUCAAGAAUCAGACUGAUUAUAAGGUGAUCAACGUGGAUCAAUGGAUGAAUUUUCUUCGGUUUUGUCAAGAGGUUAGCUUUCCAGACCUUGAAAACUAUGAUCUCGACCAAGCAUGGCCUGUGAUUUUGGAUAAUUUUGUUGAGUGGAUGAGAGAAAAACAAAAGUGAUCUGCGCUGUUGAGUUCUUGUAAAUGCUAACGAAAAGAAUUUGAAGUGUGUGCACGGGACUUUUGCUUGCAUGAUUCAUAACAGCUGCAUCAUUCAGCGGGAGGCUGGUUUUCUUUCUGCUACAGAACUACAAGCCUGAGGAGGAUUCAACACAUUUCUGUCGAAGGGGAUAUACUAAAAUUUCUUCCUUGAAGAACGCUUGUAGGAACCUUUUUAAUUUUUCGUCUUAGUUACAAACGAAAUGUAGCUGCUAUUUUUUCUCUGUCCAACUUCUUGAUUUUGGAACUUCACUAGUAACAUAGUGAUAUGGAUCAUUUGAUCCUUAUAUGGUAGUCAUACAUGUGAAUGGAGG
rnacentral:misc_RNA from 1 species